AACAUAUUCCCUCCGUCCCAAAAUUCUUGUCUUAGAUUUGUCUAAAUACGGAUGUAUCAAGUCACGUUUUAGUAUUAGAUACAUCCAUAUCUAGAUAAAUUUAAGACAAGAUUUUUGGGACAGAGGGAGUAUUUA
rnacentral:pre_miRNA from 1 species